GCGGCGGACGGGUGAGUAACACGUGGGCAACCUGCCCUGCAGACUGGGAUAACUUCGGGAAACCGGAGCUAAUACCGGAUAACACCGAAAACCGCAUGGUUUUCGGUUGAAAGGCGGCUUUUAGCUGUCACUGCAGGAUGGGCCCGCGGCGCAUUAGCUAGUUGGUGAGGUAACGGCUCACCAAGGCGACGAUGCGUAGCCGACCUGAGAGGGUGACCGGCCACACUGGGACUGAGACACGGCCCAGACUCCUACGGGAGGCAGCAGUAGGGAAUCUUCCGCAAUGGACGAAAGUCUGACGGAGCAACGCCGCGUGAGCGAAGAAGGUCUUCGGAUCGUAAAGCUCUGUUGUCAGGGAAGAACAAGUGCCGUUCGAACAGGGCGGUACCUUGACGGUACCUGACAAGGAAGCCACGGCUAACUACUUGCCACCAGCCGCGGUAAUAC
rnacentral:rRNA from 2 species